rnacentral:rRNA from 1 species
CUAAUACCGCAUAAGCGCACAGCUUCGCAUGAAGCAGUGUGAAAAACUCCGGUGGUACAAGAUGGACCCGCGUCUGAUUAGCUGGUUGGUGAGGUAACGGCCCACCAAGGCGACGAUCAGUAGCCGGCCUGAGAGGGUGAACGGCCACAUUGGGACUGAGACACGGCCCAAACUCCUACGGGAGGCAGCAGUGGGGAAUAUUGCACAAUGGGGGAAACCCUGAUGCAGCAACGCCGCGUGAGUGAAGAAGUAUUUCGGUAUGUAAAGCUCUAUCAGCAGGAAAGAAAAUGACGGUACCUGACUAAGAAGCCCCGGCUAACUACGUGCCAGCAGCCGCGGUAAUACGUAGGGGGCAAGCGUUAUCCGGAUUUACUGGGUGUAAAGGGAGCGUAGACGGUUUUGCAAGUCUGAAGUGAAAGCCCGGGGCUUAACCCCGGGACUGCUUUGGAAACUGUAGGACUAGAGUGCAGGAGAGGUAAGUGGAAUUCCUAGUGUAGCGGUGAAAUGCGUAGAUAUUAGGAGGAACACCAGUGGCGAAGGCGGCUUACUGGACUGUAACUGACGUUGAGGCUCGAAAGCGUGGGGAGCAAACAGGAUUAGAUACCCUGGUAGUCCACGCCGUAAACGAUGAUUACGAGGUGUUGGUGGGUAUGACCCAUCGGUGCCGC